rnacentral:rRNA from 1 species
AGCGAACGCUGGCGGCAGGCCUAACACAUGCAAGUCGAACGAAGCCUUCGGGCUUAGUGGCGGACGGGUGAGUAACACGUGGGAACGUACCUUUUGGUUCGGAACAACUCAGGGAAACUUGAGCUAAUACCGGAUGAGCCCUUAGGGGGAAAGAUUUAUCGCCGAAAGAGCGGCCCGCGUUAGAUUAGCUAGUUGGUGAGGUAAAGGCUCACCAAGGCUACGAUCUAUAGCUGGUCUGAGAGGAUGAUCAGCCACACUGGGACUGAGACACGGCCCAGACUCCAACGGGAGGCAGCAGUGGGGAAUCUUGCGCAAUGGGCGAAAGCCUGACGCAGCCAUGCCGCGUGAAUGAUGAAGGUCUUAGGAUUGUAAAAUUCUUUUACCAGGGACGAUAAUGACGGUACCUGGAGAAAAAGCCCCGGCUAACUUCGUGCCAGCCGCCGCCGUAAUAC